CCUACGGGGGGCAGCAGUGGGGAAUAUUGGACAAUGGGGGGAACCCUGAUCCAGCCAUGCCGCGUGUGUGAAGAAGGCCCUCGGGUUGUAAAGCACUUUCAGUGAGGAAGAACGCCUGGUGGUUAAUACCCAUCAGGAAAGACAUCACUCACAGAAGAAGCACCGGCUAACUCCGUGCCAGCAGCCGCGGUAAUACGGAGGGUGCGAGCGUUAAUCGGAAUUACUGGGCGUAAAGCGCGCGUAGGUGGCUUGAUAAGCCGGUUGUGAAAGCCCCGGGCUCAACCUGGGAACGGCAUCCGGAACUGUCAAGCUAGAGUGCAGGAGAGGAAGGUAGAAUCCCCGGUGUAGCGGUGAAAUGCGUAGAGAUCGGGAGGAAUACCAGUGGCGAAGGCGGCCUUCUGGACUGACACUGACACUGAGGUGCGAAAGCGUGGGUAGCAAACAGGAUUAGAUACCCCAGUAGUC
rnacentral:rRNA from 1 species